GACCUGGUAGCUCAGUGGUAGAGCACCGACCCGGAGGUUUGGGGGUCAUGGGUUCAAGCCCCAUCCAGAUCA